UAAAAACUCUUUCCAGUAAUUAAAGUAAUAUUAUGACAAAUAGUUCUGAAAUUCUAUGGAUGAACUUGCAGCAGUAAUUUAAUGAUUAUGAUAACAGUUUAAAUGAUUCUUGGUUGAGGUCAGAAGUGAUGAGUUGUUUCAAACCAUGACUUUUUGCAGGUUAACAAACUUUCUGAAAUUGGAGGUAAAACCAUUAAGACAAAUACAAAUAAAUGUGAUGCAAAGUGUAUGACAGCAUGCAACCUUAAUCAAACUUUUAACCUGACAAAGUGUCUCAUAACUUGUAAAAAUUAUAAUUUGUGUGAACUUGGUUGUUUAUUCUACAGUCAUAUUAAAGAAAAUGACACUGGUUGUUGACCAACGGUUUAUAAUCAAAAUUUAAUAUGGCUGGCGGUAAAGGUAAAGAGAAGU